rnacentral:rRNA from 1 species
AGAGCGAACGCUGGCGGCAGGCCUAACACAUGCAAGUCGAACGGACUCUUCGGAGUUAGUGGCGGACGGGUGGGUAACACGUGGGAACGUGCCUUUAGGUUCGGAAUAGCUCCUGGAAACGGGUGGUAAUGCCGAAUGUGCCCUUCGGGGGAAAGAUUUAUCGCCUUUAGAGCGGCCCGCGUCUGAUUAGCUUGUUGGUGAGGUAAUGGCUCACCAAGGCUACGAUCAGUAGCUGGUCUGAGAGGAUGACCAGCCACAUUGGGACUGAGACACGGCCCAAACUCCUACGGGAGGCAGCAGUGGGGAAUCUUGCGCAAUGGGCGAAAGCCUGACGCAGCCAUGCCGCGUGUAUGAUGAAGGUCUUAGGAUUGUAAAAUACUUUCACCGG